UACGUAGGGUGCGAGCGUUAAUCGGAAUUACUGGGCGUAAGCGUGCGCAGGCGGUUCGUUGUGUCGGCGGUGAAAGCCCCGGGCUCAACCUGGGAAUGGCCGUUGAAACUGGCGAACUGGAGUGUGGCAGAGGGGGGUGGAAUUCCGCGUGUAGCAGUGAAAUGCGUAGAGAUGCGGAGGAACACCGAUGGCGAGGGCAGCCCCCUGGGCUGACACUGACGCUCAGGCACGAAAGCGUGGGGAGCAAACAGG
rnacentral:rRNA from 1 species